CACUAUAGAUCAUUUAGGAAAAAUAACAUCCGAGUUUCAUGUUAAAUCUGGUGGUUGUGGUGGUGUUGCUUUUUGAUUGUUCGGUUUUUUAUGGUCUACAAUGGUUAGGUAAUUUCUUGAGCUUUUGAUUUUACAGUAACUUCCCCUUAUUUUGUAGACUCAUUUGUUGUGAUUAUUGUUUGAUUCUUGUGUUUCCUGUACUAUUAUUUCCACUUGUAGUGAAAUGUUUGGUAAAAGUGGUUAAUUAAUAGAAAUCCGAGAUCCAUUGAUAGAUGUCGCAGGCAAGUUCCGAUUUCGGUGGUCUCUCAUGGCAGCGAUGGUGGUGUUGUGUGUUUCUCACCUUCAUCUGUCGACCAUCUUAGUUUUUGUUCAAUUAGGUUUCUCACCUUUUAUGAUUUUUUGUGGUGUUUCUAUGCAUGUGGAUGUUAGUACUAUGCCGAUCUCUGCAUGGAAUAUUUGAACUUCUUAAUUUUUAACAUCGAAUCUGGGUUUGCCUUUUUUAGCGUUGCUGUAAGUGGGUUGCAAUUGUUAAUGAUAUUUCGAUGUGUCUUUUAAUGCAUGCCUGAGGAUCUUCGGAGGCCGUUUGGACACUUUGGUCCUUUAAAGGACAAUUACUUGCCAAGGGAUUAUUAUAGCGGGUAAGCUGGUGGUUGUAGCCUUAAUUUCUAUAAUUUUAGUUAUAUCGUCAGUUGUUUUUGCCGAGGAAAAUCGAAAGAAACCAACUGAUAUGAGAAUGAGAGGGCGGAGGUAAGUUAUUGAUUUGGCGAAAUUUAGAUAAUGGGUCAAAAGGGUUUCAGGUUGAAGUAAGUUUUUUUUUUGGUAACGGGUCAGGUUGGUUUGACAGGUUAACAUAUUUUUCAUUUUAUAUAAAUAGUUAAUGAGUGCUAUAUGGUUUUGAUUUUUGUAACUGUUAUUACUAUAAUUAAGUACUUAAUUAGAAUUGAACUUUGGUAGAAUUCUCAACCUUUUGACCAGACUGACCUAUUCGUAAGUUGGUCGAAAUUGCUUUUAUUUUUGUUUGUUUGUCUGCAGUUAAUGUGGUAAAAUAUCGGAUAUCGGCGAAGGACCGAUUUGACAGAUAUUUGAGAUAUAAGUUAUCUUGAGGUGGUGGCAGAUAUAAUGACCGCAGACGAUCACGACCACGUCGCUACCCUCGUUCACCUUGUUGCUACUUGCGCUCUCCGCCUCCUCGACAUGGCAGAUCGCGUUCCCGCAGCCGUGAGUACUCGCCUGCUCCCAAGAGAAAGCAUCACUUGAGGUCUAUUUCACCUCGCGGAAAAAGGUACAGUUGAGAUAGGUCAUAUUCACCCUCGCCAGCGAGAGAGGGUUCUCCACCUUACCACGGUGGGUCCAGGAGUCGUAGUCAAAGUCCUGUUAAGGACAGGUCUCCUCCACCCUAUAAUGGCUCAAGGAGUCCAAGCCCGGGUCCCGAAAGAGCGAGAUUGCCGCCAACGAGCCAAAGCCCAAGCAGAAGCCAAAGUCGAAGCCCUGAUCUACGCGACCGAGGAUAGGGUUUCAUGAUAAAGGAAGAGCGGUGAUUGGCAGUGGUGUUGAGCUCCAGUAACAGCGGAAACCUCAUGCAAGUGCAGCAUUGUAUGGACCCAAUAAAAAACCGAACAUAGUGUUUUUGGUGCUUUAGGGUGUUUGUUUCGCUUUUCGUGUUUAUCAGAUGAUGAUAUCAGACGAAGAAGCCUGACCUCGAGGAUUGACGUUAAAAUUUUCCUGAUGGGUACAUAUCAAAACACCGUCCAGGUUAGUACAUUACGGGUCAAGUUUGGAUCUCGACUCAUAAGUCACAUGUUGGAAAGAAAAAAGAUGGGGUCAAGUUUCAAAGAUACAACUUUGUUGACCAUUUGGGGUCAAAAUCUGGCAAAAAAAAAAAACUGGUUUGUUCCAGAAAGAUGAUACUGGCGCAAUGGGGUAUCGUCUCUUCGCUAUUAGAACCGAGUUGACUAACAGCGCCAAGCCGCCACGCAGCUAUGACUUCGAAGUGUUAACAAUCGGCGUCAGUAGUGGCGGCGUAAGAGCUUCUCGUUUUACCGCCAAUUUUGGGGCUUUAGUUGCUGUUUCGAGCUUCCGUUUGCUACUAUAUCUUCUGAGACUAUCGCAAAUGUAGGCGUAGGCGGAACAUAAGUUUCUAAUUUUAUUGUUUUAUUUUUUAAAUUAGUUAUAGUUGGUGUUGUUACAAUAACAGGGGUCUUGAUACUAGAUUUUAUUAGGUUUAUGAUGCUUAAAAAGUAUUGUAAUCGAGUUACUAUGAUAUUUAUUGUGUUCCUAUCAACGAGUUAAGACUAUGUUGGUGAUUA